AAAGUGCUGGGAUUACAGGUGUGAGCCACCGCGCCUGGCCCACUCCCUUUUCUUAUUAAGCAGAUGGCCCCUGAUUCACUGAGCAGCUGGUGUGGACACUGUUCUCAGGAAGGCUGCCUCUCAGUGCACAUCCUGACCACUGGCUGUCUUCUUUAUGCCCUUCCUUAUUUGAUCUAAUAUAAUCAGUUUAUCAGUUUGUUUGUUUACAUUUCUUCCCUAACCUCAUUCCAUUAAAGUUUUAAAUCACUUAAACAUGAUAAAGUGGGGGGAAAGAACUGGAUUAAUCAGGAUUAGGAAAUUACAGCUGACACAAUAUUCAGGACCAGGAAAAUGUAUCAAUGCUGAGCCACAGACUGGGCACCCCUCAGCAGAUCAGAGGGAGGGUGGACAGGCAGGAUACAGGUCAUCCACAGAGAAAAAGCCCAUGCCAGUUUCUCAAGGAAAGCAGAACCCUUUCCUAGCACUCGCAUCCAAACAAAGUUCUCACAUAAGUCUUCCUAGAGGGGACACCAUGUGAUAAAGUGCUUUGCUAUUCUAAGGGGUCCAGGGGGCCAUGGGCCUCCCCUGGGAGUUACUGAAUUGGAACCUCACCCUCACAGGACUCAUAGGCACCAUCCUGAGUGCUAUAAUUAAGAACAGUGAGUGCAGUGAGCUGACGACACCCCCACCUACCCACACCAUGCAGAUGUUCCCCCUAUAACCCACUGCAACCAGAGAGAAAACAAGUCCCAGGCUUCCGCAGAACAGAAAUAUUUUGCAUAUUUAAAUGCAAACUUAAAUGAUCACUUAUGCCAAUAACUAUCCAAUGCUCAAAAUAUGAUACUCAUAACCAAAAAACUUACCUUUCCAAUUCCUUAAAUCUAUAUUUAAAGAGCAGCUCCUCCCAUAAGAAAUAUUAAUCUAGUGGCCUAGUUUUUUUCUACAGGAAUUUUUGUAAGUUUUCAGUAAUUUAUGUGCAAAAGACUAAUAAACAUAUCAUUUGACAUACACAUUAUAUCCUUACACAGAAAAUACCCUUGAGUCUUUUACUUUUUCCAGAAAUUUCCAUUUUAAAGUAUUUUAAUUAAAAAUAUACCCAAACAUGCUAGUUACAUGGGUGGGUUUAAUAUGCAAAAAUUCACUAUGCUGUGUGCUUAGAAAUUGUGCACUUUUAAAGUAAAUUUUACUUUAAUUAAAAGUUAAGGCUGGGUGUGGUGGCUUGAACUUAUAAUUCCAGCACUUUUGGAGGUUAAGGCCGCUUGAGUCUGGAAGUUCCAGUCCAGCCUGGGUAACAUAGUGAGAUGCCAUCUCUAGAAAAAAUUUUGAAAACUGGCCAGACGUGGUGGCACGCCUGUAGUCCCAGCUACUUCAGAGGCUGAGGUAGGAGGAUUGCUUGAGCCUGGAAGGUCGAGGCUGCAGUGAGCAUUGACCUCACCACCACACUCCAGACUGUACAACAGAGCAAAACCCUCUUAAACAGACAAAACAGUAGGAGUGGCUGGGCAUGGUAACUCACGCCUGUAAUCCCAGCACUUUGGGAGGCCUAAGAGGGCGGAUCACAAGGUCAGGAGAUUGAGUCCAUCCUGGCUAACACGAAACCCGUCUCUACUAAAAAUACAAAAAAUUAGCCGGGCGUGGUGGUGGG
rnacentral:lncRNA from 10 species